CAGUCGAGCGGCAGCACGGGUGCUUGCACCUGGUGGCGAGCGGCGGACGGGUGAGUAACGCGUGGGAACGUACCUAUUAGUGGGGGAUAACCCGGGGAAACUCGGGCUAAUACCGCAUAAUCCCUGAGGGGGAAAGCGGGGGAUCUUCGGACCUCGCGCUGAUGGAUCGGCCCGCGUUGGAUUAGCUAGUUGGUAGGGUAAAGGCCUACCAAGGCUACGAUCCAUAGCUGGUCUGAGAGGAUGAUCAGCCACACUGGGACUGAGACACGGCCCAGACUCCUACGGGAGGCAGCAGUGGGGAAUAUUGGACAAUGGGGGCAACCCUGAUCCAGCCAUGCCGCGUGUGUGAAGAAGGCCCUAGGGUUGUAAAGCACUUUCAGCGGGGAGGAAGGCUUUGGGUUAAUAGCCUGGAGUACUUGACGUUACCUGCAGAAGAAGCACCGGCUAAUUUCGUGCCAGCAGCCGCGGUAAUACGAAAGGUGCGAGCGUUAAUCGGAAUUACUGGGCGUAAAGCGCGCGUAGGCGGCGAGUUAAGUCGGAUGUGAAAGCCCAGGGCUCAACCUUGGAAUGGCAUCUGAUACUGGCUUGCUAGAGUGCAGUAGAGGGAGGUGGAAUUUCCGGUGUAGCGGUGAAAUGCGUAGAGAUCGGAAGGAACACCAGUGGCGAAGGCGGCCUCCUGGACUGACACUGACGCUGAGGUGCGAAAGCGUGGGGAUCAAACAGGAUUAGAUACCCCGGUAGUCCACGCCGUAAACGAUGUCGACUAGCCGUUGGAGGCCC
rnacentral:rRNA from 1 species